CUGGGGGUGGAUGAGUGGCGAACGGGUGAGUAACACGUGAGUAACCUGCCCCGAACUCUGGGAUAAGCGCUGGAAACGGCGUCUAAUACUGGAUAUGUCCUAUCACCGCAUGGUGUGUAGGUGGAAAGAAUUUUGGUUCGGGAUGGACUCGCGGCCUAUCAGCUAGAUGGUGAGGUAAUGGCUCACCAUGGCGACGACGGGUAGCCGGCCUGAGAGGGUGACCGGCCACACUGGGACUGAGACACGGCCCAGACUCCUACGGGAGGCAGCAGUGGGGAAUAUUGCACAAUGGGCGCAAGCCU
rnacentral:rRNA from 1 species